rnacentral:lncRNA from 1 species
UUAAGACUAACUGUCCAGACGACUUUCAGUUAAGUCGUCUGGACGACUUAUUUUCAAGUCGUCUAAACAGACGACUUGCGAGGGGUAGAAACGUAAAAAAAAUUCCGUUUUUUUGUUUGGUCACAAGGGGAUAGUUGUAAUUUCAAUAGCCUUUUAGGUUACUUUUGCCUUUGACCCAAAUUGGGGUAUUGUUUUGGGUUUGACUCCAAGUUUUGAGUCACACUUGGCAAUUCUCCCACGAUAUAUAGUACCGAUGUAUUAAGCCUAGUUUGUUUUAGAAAAAUACGAGAGGAACAAAAUUAGACAGUGGGCCGAUUUCAAAGACAUUAAAACAUUCGUGUGGACUGUUAAAACAGAUCAGGAAACCGAUAAAAAUCUGCUAGAUGCCCAGUAAAAGGGACGCUUUCUUUGUCUAUUUAUUUAAUUACUGGAGUACCCUUAAUGAAUUAAUUCAAGUCUUUGCAAAAUCAGCAGCAUAGGUAGUAAAUAAAAGGGUAUUAGAAGGGGAAAAAUUAGAUAGGAUCAUGCUUUAAUAGUUACCACCAGUAACUUACUUUAUUAAUAACAUUUUAUUUCAAAGGCUGAUGUAAUAGAACCGGGAUUAUUAAGGCAACAGUUACCAAAAGAGCUUGAAGUUCGAUCUAAAAUUAAAAUAUUGUUUUACAAAAAUAACAAUAAUAGGUGAUAGUAUAAUAAACUAUAUUUUUGGUUGGUAGCAGUAUUAUAUCUCAUACAUGGAAAUAGUUUUAUACCAAUUUCAGAUCAAUUUGUUUUUCAUAGUAUUUGCAUGAUUUAAUAGUCCA